UCCGGAAUCAUUGGGCGUAAAGAGCGCGUAGGCGGUCCAGUAAGUCCGCUCUGAAAGUCCGGGGCUCAACCCCGGGAGGCGGGCGGAUACUGCUGGGCUAGAGUCCGGAAGAGGCGAGUGGAAUUCCUGGUGUAGCGGUGAAAUGCGCAGAUAUCAGGAGGAACACCAAUGGCGAAGGCAGCUCGCUGGGACGGUACUGACGCUGAGGCGCGAAAGCGUGGGGAGCAAACAGG
rnacentral:rRNA from 1 species